rnacentral:rRNA from 1 species
GUUCGUUAUUAAGGGCGCAUGGUGGAUGCCUUGGCAUGCUGAGCCGAUGAAGGACGUGAAAGGCUGCGUUAAGCCUCGGGGAGUUGUCAAUUAAGCGUUGAUCCGAGGAUGUCCGAAUGGGGAAACCUGGCCCUGGUUAUGUGGGGUUACCCUUCAGUGAAUUCAUAGCUGUUGUGGGGGUUUACGCGGGGAAGUGAAACAUCUCAGUACCCGUAGGAGAAGAAAAUAAUAAUGAUUCUGCUAGUAGUGGCGAACGAACGUGGAUGAGGCUAAACCGUGUGCAUGUGAUACCUGGUAGGGGUUGUGUGUGCGGUGUUGUGGGCCCUGAUGUGCGGUGACUACCAUCAUCGUGCUUGCGCAUUGUUGUUAGGUGAAGUGGUUUGGAAUGGCCUGCCGGAGUAGGUGAGAGUCCUGUAGCUGAAGAUGAUGAUGUGUGGGUUGUUGGGUUGCCCGAGUAGCAGCGGGCUCGUGGAAUCUGCUGUGAAUCUGCCGGGACCACCCGGUAAGCCUAAAUACUCAGUGUGACCGAUAGUGUAUGAGUACCGUGAGGGAAUGGUGAAAAGUACCCCGGGAGGGGAGUGAAAUAGUUCCUGAAACCAUGUGCUUACAAUCCGUCAGAGCACCGUGUGUGUGUGAUGGCGUGCCUUUUGAAGAAUGAGCCUGCGAGUCAGCGGCAUGUCGCGAGGUUAACCCGUGUGGGGUAGCCGUAGGGAAACCGAAUCCUAAUGGGGUGUCAAGUGGCAUGUCCUGGACCCGAAGCGGGGUGAUCUACCCAUGGCCAGUGUGAAGCAGCUGUAAGAGGUUGUGGAGGCGCGAACCCACGUAGGUUGAAAACUGCGGGGAUGAGCUGUGGGUAGGGGUGAAAGGCCAAUCAAACUCCGUGAUAGCUGGUUCUCCCCGAAAUGCAUUUAGGUGCAGCGUCGUAUUAUAGCUUGGUGGAGGUAGAGCGACUGGUUGGUUGAGCGGGACUACAAUCUUAGCAAUGUCAGCCAAACUCCGAAUGCCACUAAUUGUGUUGUACGGCAGUGAGACUGUGGGGGAUAAGCUUCAUAGUCGAGAGGGAAACAGCCCAGAUCGCCGGUUAAGGCCCCUAAGGGUGUACUAAGUGGAAAAGGAUGUGGGAUCGCGAAGACAGCCAGGAGGUUGGCUUAGAAGCAGCCAUCCUUGAAAGAGUGCGUAAUAGCUCACUGGUCGAGUGGUUCUGCGCCGACAAUGUAGUGGGGCUCAAGUACACCGCCGAAGCCGCGGCAACAAUUUUUUUGUUGGGUAGGGGAGCGUCGUGCAUGGGUUGAAGCGUUACCGUAAGGAGGCGUGGACUGUGUGCGAGUGAGAAUGCAGGCAUGAGUAACGAAUUGAUAGGUGAGAAUCCUAUCCGCCGGAUGACUAAGGGUUCCUGGGUCAAGUUCGUCUUCCCAGGGUGAGUCGGGACCUAAGGCGAGGCCGACAGGCGUAGUCGAUGGAUAACCAGUUGAUAUUCUGGUACCCGUACAUGCGCGCCCAUGAUAAAGCACUGAUACUAACCACCGCGGAUGCAUUGCUGGUCUUCUUUGAAGUCUGGUGGUGUUGAUGUCGUGGGGCCUGAUGUGUGGUUCAAGUGAUGGGGUGACGCAGUGAGGUAGCCACGCCACUUAUUGGAUUGGUGGUGUAAGCGUGCAGACCGUGUGGUAGGUAAAUCCGCUACACAUUUUGGUUGAGGCGUGAUGCGUAGACCCAUUGGGGUUGAUGGUGGUGAUCCUGUACUGUCGAGAAAAGCCUCUAGCGAUGUGUGUGUAUGGCCCGUACCCUAAACCGACACAGGUGGUCAGGUUGAAAAUACUAAGGCGUUCGGGUGAACUGUGGUUAAGGAAUUCGGCAAAAUGCCCCCGUAACUUCGGGAGAAGGGGGGCCCUACGACGUGAGCAUCCUUGCGGUGUUAAGCGUUGUGGGGUCGCAGAGAAUAGAGGGAAGCGACUGUUUAUCAAAAACACAGGUCCAUGCGAAGACGUUAAGUUGAUGUAUAUGGACUGACGCCUGCCCGGUGCUGGAAGGUUAAGAGGACCGGUUAGUCAACUUUGUUGGCGAAGCUGAGAAUUUAAGCCCCAGUAAACGGCGGUGGUAACUAUAACCAUCCUAAGGUAGCGAAAUUCCUUGUCGGGUAAGUUCCGACCUGCACGAAUGGCGUAA